AGUGGUGAAGAUUGAUGAACUCCCAGAGGGAGCUGUGAAGCCUCCAGCAAACAAGUAUCCUAUCUUCUUUUUUGGCACCCAUGAAACUGCAUUUCUAGGUCCCAAAGACCUUUUUCCAUAUAAGGAGUACAAAGACAAGUUUGGAAAGUCAAACAAACGGAAAGGAUUUAACGAAGGAUUGUGGGAAAUAGAAAAUAACCCAGGAGUAAAGUUUACUGGAUACCAGGCAAUUCAGCAACAGAGCUCUUCAGAAACUGAGGGAGAAGGUGGAAAUACUGCAGAUGCAAGCAGUGAGGAAGAAGGCGAUAGAGUAGAAGAAGAUGGAAAAGGCAAAAGAAAGAAUGAAAAAGCAGGCUCAAAACGGAAAAAGUCAUAUACUUCAAAGGUUACUAAGAAACUUCUCAUUGUUAUUAAUAUUAUAUGCAUAUCCAUUAAACAUUUUUAGAUUA
rnacentral:sRNA from 1 species